rnacentral:sRNA from 1 species
CCUGUGGUAUAAAUACACUGACCUAGAACUCCAAAGACUGGCCAACAGGUUCGACAAUAAUAGCGACGGGAAGAUAUCACGAUACGAGGUUACCAUGGCGAUGAGGACCAUGGAUGACCACAAUGACUCUGGCGUCCGGAAGUGUAACUUUGUCGACACCAUGACGUCAUACAAGCAGCACGGCGCCGCUGCUGUGACCUUCUACGAUUAUAUUUUCAACCAGCGUGACCUCACUUGGGCGGAUGUGGAUUCCGACUUUUUCUUAAAGACAGCAGACGACAAUGUACUGAAGAGAUGACAUUGCCAACAACACAUAAG